AGGGUUCGAUUCUGGCUCAGGACGAACGCUGGCGGCGUGCUUAACACAUGCAAGUCGAACGAGGAUAUUCCUUCGGGGGAUAUUCGAGUGGCGGACGGGUGAGUAACGCGUGAACAAUCUGUCCUUCAAAGGGGGAUACCAACUGGAAACAGUUGCUAAUACCGCAUAAGACCACAGUGUCGCAUGGCACAGAGGUAAAAGACGGAAGUCGAUGGAGGGUGAGUUCGCGUCUGAUUAGGCAGUUGGCGGGGUAAAGGCCCACCAAACCGACGAUCAGUAGCCGACCUGAGAGGGUGACCGGCCACAUUGGGACUGAGACACGGCCCAGACUCCUACGGGAGGCAGCAGUGGGGAAUAUUGGGCAAAUGGGCGAAAGCCUGACCCAGCAACGCCGCGUGAGGGAAGAAGGUUUUCGGAUUGUAAACCUCUGUCCUAAAGGACGAAGGAAGUGACGGUACUUUAGGAGGAAGCCCCGGCUAACUACGUGCCAGCCGCAGC
rnacentral:rRNA from 1 species